UACGUAGGUGGCAAGCGUUGUCCGGAUUUACUGGGCGUAAAGCGUAUGCAGGCGGAUACUUAAGUAGGAAGUGAAAGGUGGGAGCUCAACUCCCACAUUGCUCCCUAUACUGGGUGUCUUGAGUGGCGGAGAGGGAGAGGGAACGACACGUGUAGCGGUGAAAUGCGUUGAUAUGUGUCGGAACACCAAUGGCGAAAGCACUCUCCUGGACGCAAACUGACGCUGAGAUACGAAAGCCAAGGUAGCAAACAGG
rnacentral:rRNA from 1 species